GACGAACCGUGCGAACGUUAUUCGGAAUCACUGGGCUUAAAGCGCGCGUAGGCGGCUUGGUAAGUUAGAGGUGAAAUCCCAUCGGCUCAACCGUGGAAUCGCCUUUAAUACUGCCCGGCUCGAGGGAGAUAGGGGUAUGUGGAACUUCCGGUGGAGCGGUGAAAUGUGUUGAUAUCGGAAGGAACGCCAGUGGCGAAAGCGACAUACUGGGUCUCUACUGACGCUCAAGUGCGAAAGCCAGGGUAGCGAA
rnacentral:rRNA from 1 species